UUGGGGAUUUAGCUCAGCGGUAGAGCACUUGCCUAGCAAGCAAGAGGUCCUGGGUUCGGUCCCCAGCUCCAAA